UACAAUUAUGAAUUCGAUCCACCCAACAUUCUCUAGAGUGUAAUGUCGGAAACCCAAAAGCGAUUAUCAAACUGCUAAAAUCAAGUACUAUUUCCGUAUUGCAAGUCAACUAUAAACCCUAGAUUGCAGCAAUCACAAUCCCUAAAAAAUCUCCCCAAAUUCCUGACUAUGAGUUAUAUCCAGUGGAAUUGAUCCUGAAAAAGGAAGAGGAAGAUGUAGUAGAAGUACGACAAGGAAAUGAAGGGGACAGAGCCACAGAGGAGGAGAAGAAAAAGAUAUGUCCGCCAACUGUGUGCAAGUAACUCGGGGGAUACAAACUGUUCAAGAAGACAUAUCUUAUUAUGAUUGUUGAAAAGAAUGUCCCACAAGUGAAAUUCCUAGGGGUUGAUGUGAGCUCUCACUUGAUCCCAAUCUUGAAAAAGAUAUGAGAUGAGCAAUAGCAUGGAAAUAUAAUGGAAGUGCAUCUUGUGAAUAGUGAUAGCCUCCUUACUUGGGCCUUAGAGUCUCUAGCAAAGAUAAUUAUUAUUCUUCAAAAGGACUCUGGGAGGUCCUUAGAUGACGCCCAAGCUAUAUAUUUGGAUUCAAUCCUACUCGACCUUGAGUUGAUGCAUUUUAAAAUAGAUUGGCUGGUUCCUUUUAUAGAAAAAAACAAGGUUCUUAUGCUCCCCAAGUCAUACUAAUGUGGAAAUAGUCCUAGCGAGAUGGGUACUGGUCGCUCCAUGAUCACCUGCUUCCGUUCUUUUUUUUUUUGGUGAACAAGGCGUAACGUAGAUAAUAAUAAUACUUUAUAUUUCAUUCACUCUGCAAUGUGAUCAUGCAUAUUGAAACUAGGGGGAAAGGGGAAAGUUCUAGUACUGCUGAUACAAUCAUCUGUUUUUCUAGCUUCCUUGGCAAGUGUAUCGGCAAUCUAAUUCUUCCUUCGUGGGGGAGUGCUCAAUCACUAUCUUCCUGAACUUUUUCCGCCUGCUUCCAUUCUAGGGGCACGUAGUAUUCACAUAGCAUACAUACCCCUAAUAUUGCUAUAGCUUGGAAACGACAAUCACAUAUCGUAUUUCACCAUAUUAUGCUUCAUUGCUUCAUGGCUUCAUGGAUACCACCAUGCUUGUUCUCAUUAUAUAGGUGCUUUUAUAUACAUUAUGGAAACUUUCCCUUACUAAGCUCUUAUACUUCUUAUGUAAUUUGGUUAUAGGAAUAGCCUGUCAGAUAUCAGGUUUUUGAAGCUGAUAUCGCAGUAAUAUUUUGAAGAUGAAUCAUCAGUAUAUAUUUGUGAAUGAGGAAGUUUUUGUUCUCCACCCUACUUGGAUACAUCAAUUGUUCUACAGACCAUACUGUUUGUUAGGUAAUUGAUGUUCAAGGUAUAAGUUACUAUCAGACACUUGCAGAAUCACCGUGGCCUCUGCUAGCAGAAGUUUUGCUUAGUGUAAGCUCCCCUUGUUUCUUUCCCCUUUUGUGAAGAUCUCUAUGUAUAUAGACAUAUAGAAAUGUUCUAAGAACAAACUUUCGACUUUGAACCUUCGUACAUAACCUGUUGGCCUGGUUUCGCUCCUUGCCUCUAAAGUAAACUUUAAUCAGUUUGUUCUUAUAUUCUUUGGGGGUGUUUGACAAUUAGAGUUUUGGAGUAAAAAGAGAGUUUUGGACCACUUUUAGAGUUUUGACUAGUCAAAAACUCUAAAAGGGGUGUUUGGUAAAAUAGAGUUUUAGAGAGAGUUUUGGAAUGAAAACUCUCAAAAUGAAAAAGCCUCCUAAUAAGAGUUUUUUCUUUAGAGGAUUAGGUACAAAUAUUUUCAAUGACUUUUUUGCUUCUAAUAAUACUAGUACACAUUGUAUUAAAAUGUCUAUAAAUUUCAUUAUACUCAAACACAUGGCAAUAAGCUUUUAGCAAUCAGUUAAUUGUUAUCAAACACAUUUAUAAAAAACAGUUGUGAAAUCAGCAGUCAAAUCUGAUGAACAAAAACUCUCUAACAGCUAAACUCUAAACUCUAUUUGUCAAACAGGGCCAAUUCUCUGGCUUGUACAUCAUUUUUUUCCUGCUAUGUGAACAACAGGACAAAUACAUAUGACAUUUUGUGGGAUUCUCUUGUCUUUUGUAAUACAUAUUAAUUGAGGAGCUUGAUCAAUUGUUUUGCCAGGAUGAUAUACACUAUUUAAUGCACUAUUUUUGUUUUCUUCCUCAUUUCAUCAAGCUUUGAAUAAUUCCAUGAAAGUGGCACUUGACAGCAGAGUGCAGAGAUGUCAAUAAACAGAUGUCUUUUUAGUAUUAACUAUUAUGGUCUAGUAUCUCAGGUGCACAUUCCAAUUGUAGUGGAAGUAGAUUCUCUUUCAGGCUUUUUAUUUGUUGAGAUAAGGUCAUUUAAUUGGUAUUUGGUACCAUGUUAUGUGACUGACAGUUUGUACUGCUGACCACUCACCAUGCUCUUUGUUUGAAUAUGAAUGUUGAGGAUAAAUUUUAUAUUUAACAUUUGGAAUUGCAAUUAUUCUGACAUUUUCAGUAAGAUAAACUUGUUUAAUAUAGAACCUGCUGGCUCCUUUUUGGGUGUUGUGAACUAGCCAUUAUGGCUCUAUGGUCACAUUUAUGGUACAAAUUUUCCACCUUGUUCAAUUGUUUUUUUUUGGCUGAACCAAUAUUUUUUACUAUUUAUUUUUAGGAAAAAAUCUAUUAGUGCAGCAUAUAAGAAGCUAGAAAUGGAAAAAAUAUGCAUUAAUUGAACAUUUAUAUUACAUCAUGAUGCAUAAUUUUUUCCAUAAAUUUACAACUUAUUUCUAUUUUAGGUAGUGUGUUAGUGUAUUUUAUGUCUUAUAUAUAGUCCUUGGUUGCA